rnacentral:misc_RNA from 1 species
CAACACACCCACAACAAAAGCCAAAAAGCAAGAAAGAGCUACCGAAAAUGGCAUCCGAACUGGAUCAAUUCGCCGACCUGGAACUCUCAAAGGAGGAUCGUGAACAGAUCUUUGAUCCGCCACUGGAUCGACAGCAGCUGGAAGGUGCUGGCACCUCAAGUGUUACGACAUCAAAAAUCUUAAUAAGCGGCAUACCGAUGCAAACACGUUUCGAAGACAUCGAACCGCUACUGAAGCCCUAUGGCAUCGUCAAACAGUGUGAGGCUAUUUCUAGUAAGGAUCAAAAUACUCAAACAGUACAUAUAACAUUCGAAAAUCCUGAGCAGGCGCAAAGAGCUGCUGUUGGUCUGAACGGUGUCGAGUUCGAGGGCAGCAAGCUGCAUGCCGAGCAGCUGGACAAGAACCAGCGGCGUAGCCAGCGUAAUCAGCGCAAUCCGUAUCCGGGAAUGCCCGGUCCCGGACGCCAGGCGGACUUUCCGCUGCGCAUCCUUGUGCAGAGCGAAAUGGUGGGUGCCAUCAUUGGCCGACAGGGUAGCACUAUUAGGACGAUCACACAACAGAGCCGUGCUCGCGUCGACGUCCAUCGCAAGGAGAAUGUUGGAUCGCUGGAGAAAUCGAUCACGAUCUAUGGCAAUCCGGAGAACUGCACCAACGCCUGCAAGCGCAUCCUGGAAGUGAUGCAGCAGGAGGCCCUCUCCACGAAUAAGGGUGAACUCACCCCUGAUUGCAGUGAAAUUUGCCUCAAAAUACUCGCCCACAACAAUUUGAUUGGACGGAUCAUUGGCAAGUCGGGCAAUACCAUUAAACGGAUCAUGCAGGACACCGAUACGAAGAUCACUGUCAGCUCUAUUAAUGACAUCAAUAGCUUCAACUUGGAGCGCAUUAUCACGGUCAAGGGACUGAUUGAGAACAUGUCGCGUGCUGAAAACCAGAUUAGCACCAAACUGCGCCAGAGCUAUGAGAACGAUCUGCAGGCGAUGGCGCCGCAGAGCCUCAUGUUCCCCGGUCUCCAUCCGAUGGCAAUGAUGUCGACACCGGGCAACGGCAUGGUCUUCAAUACGAGCAUGCCGUUCCCCUCGUGUCAAAGCUUUGCCAUGUCCAAGACCCCGGCUAGUGUGGUGCCACCGGUCUUCCCGAACGACCUGCAGGAGACCACUUAUCUCUACAUACCGAACAACGCUGUCGGCGCCAUCAUCGGCACCAAGGGCUCGCAUAUCCGGAGCAUUAUGCGCUUCUCGAACGCAUCCCUCAAAAUAGCCCCCCUCGACGCCGACAAGCCGCUGGACCAACAAACGGAGCGCAAGGUGACGAUUGUUGGCACACCGGAGGGUCAGUGGAAGGCACAGUUCAUGAUCUUCGAGAAGAUGCGCGAAGAGGGCUUUAUGUGUGGCACGGACGAUGUACGCCUCACGGUUGAAUUACUUGUUGCCAGCUCUCAGGUGGGCCGCAUCAUUGGCAAGGGUGGCCAAAAUGUGCGCGAAUUACAGCGCGUGACAGGCAGUGUGAUUAAGCUGCCGGAACAUGCCCUUGCACCGCCGUCCGGUGGAGAUGAGGAGACACCAGUGCACAUUAUCGGACCAUUCUACAGCGUACAGUCUGCCCAGCGACGCAUUCGAGCCAUGAUGCUUUCGACAAAUCCGCCGCCAAUAACCAAAAAACAGAAAGCUGCCAAAGAACAAUUGCAACAACAGCAACAGAGCCUAGCCGGAGCCGCGACCAGCGGGUCCCAGCAGCAGCAGCCACAGUCGCCAUCCCAACAACAGGCACUGCCACCGCAAUUGCAUCAUCAGCCUGUGUCGUCGGCGUCGUCAUCGUCGACGCCGCCUGCACACCAUCAGCAGCAGGCGUCGACGGCAGCGACCUCACACCAGCUGCAGCAGCAGCCAUCGCCGCCGCCACCUGGCAAUGCAACUGCGGCCGCAGCUCAGCAGCAGCAGCAGCAGCAGCUGGCGAGCUCACAGCAGUAAGGAGGAAUCACCGUUAAAGGAGAGCCAGCGCCGCAGCAGCAGCAGCAGCAACAGUAGCAACAGCAACGGUAGCAGCAACAGCAGCAGCAACAGCAACAGCAGCAGCAGCAGCAGCGACAGCGCCAACAAUAGCCAAGGCAGGGUUUUCUACUGUUGAUACUACCUCCACAACACACCAAUAAGUUUCAAUACCACAAGACCCAAAAUUUAACAAUUUACAACCCUCUAACUACAAGCUAACCGUAGGCGCCACCUUUGUGCUGGCACAGGCGACGGCAAAAGGGAACCACCACAUCAAAAAGUGAGCUGCGUGAAGAAGCUCAACUAGUUCAUAGCAGUGUAUUUCAACUUUAACAAGAAUAACAUCAACAGCAGUCACACAGCAAGAAUAACCAUAACAUUCUUCAUUUGCAUACUAAGAAAUAAAGAGAAAACGUUAAAUAGAAAGCA